AACGAACGCUGGCGGCAUGCCUAACACAUGCAAGUCGAACGAGACCUUCGGGUCUAGUGGCGCACGGGUGCGUAACGCGUGGGAACCUGCCCUUAGGUUCGGAAUAACUCCCCGAAAGGGGUGCUAAUACCGGAUAAUGUCUUCGGACCAAAGAUUUAUCGCCUUUGGAUGGGCCCGCGUUGGAUUAGCUAGUUGGUAGGGUAAAAGCCUACCAAGGCGACGAUCCAUAGCUGGUCUGAGAGGCUGAUCAGCCACACUGGGACUGAGACACGGCCCAGACUCCUACGGGAGGCAGCAGUGGGGAAUAUUGGACAGUGGGCGAAAGCCUGAUCCAGCAAUGCCGCGUGAGUGAUGAAGGCCUUAGGGUUGUAAAGCUCUUUUACCCGGGAUGAUAAUGACAGUACCGGGAGAAUAAGCUCCGGCUAACUCCGUG
rnacentral:rRNA from 1 species